rnacentral:rRNA from 12 species
AACCUGGUUGAUCUUGCCAGUAGUCAUAUGCUUGUCUCAAAGAUUAAGCCAUGCAAGUGAAAGUAUAUGCAUAUUUUAUAUGUAGAAACUGCGAACGGCUCAUUAAAACAGUUAUAAUCUACUUGACAUUUUUUCUAUAAGGAUAACUACGGAAAAGCUGUAGCUAAUACUUGCCUUAGCACUCUUGAUUCAUUUCUUGAGUGUGUACUUGUUAAGCCUUUUAAGAAAAAAGUUAUUAACUUAAGGAAUUAUAACAAAGAAGCGACACGUAAUGGAUCCGUCCAUUUUUAGUGUGUAUCAAUCGAGUUUCUGACCUAUCAGCUUUUGAUGUUAGGGUAUUGGCCUAACAUGGCUAUGACGGGUAACGGGGAAUUAGAGUUCGAUUCCGGAGAGGGAGCCUGAGAAAUAGCUACCACAUCUAAGGAAGGCAGCAGGCGCGUAAAUUACCCAAUUCUAAAGAAGAGAGGUAGUGACAAGAAAUAACAAUACAAGGCCAAUCUGGCUUUGUAAUUGGAAUGAUGGGAAUUUAAAACCUUCCCAAAACUCAAUUGGAGGGCAAGUCUGGUGCCAGCAGCCGCGGUAAUUCCAGCUCCAAUAGCGUAUAUUAAAAUUGUUGCAGUUAAAACGCUCGUAGUUGAAUUUCAAAGAAUCGAUAUUUUAAGCAACGCUUCUAGCUUAAUCCACAUAACUGAUACUUCGUAUCGACUUUGUGCGCAUUUUGCUAUUAUGUGUUCUUUUAAUUAAAAUGAUUCUUUUUAAGGACUUUCUUUGCUUCGGCUUGGAAGUCCUUGUUACUUUGAGUAAAUUAGAGUGUUCAAAGCAAACAGAUAUAGCAUUGCGCGUUUGAAUACUACAGCAUGGAAUAACAAAUUGAACAAGUCAGAAUUUUUGUUCUUUUUUCUUAUUUUGGCUUAGUUACGAUUAAUAGGAGUAGCUUGGGGGCAUUUGUAUUCAGAUGUCAGAGGUGAAAUUCUUAGAUUUUCUGGAGACAAACAACUGCGAAAGCAUUUGCCUAAAAUACUUCCAUUAAUCAAGAACGAAAGUUAAGGGAGUGAAGACGAUCAGAUACCGUCGUAAUCUUAACCAUAAACUAUGCCGACUAGGCUUUGGAUGAAAGAUUUUAAAAUAAGAAUUUUCUCUUCGGAGUUUAUUCUUAGAUUGCUUCCUUCAGUGCCUUAUGAGAAAUCAAAGUCUUUGGGUUCUGGGGCGAGUAUUCGCGCAAGCGAGAAAGUUAAAAGAAUUGACGGAAGGGCACCACCAGGCGUGGAGCUUGCGGCUUAAUUUGACUCAACACGGGAAAACUCACUAGUUUAAGACAAGAGUAGGAUUGACAGAUUAAUAGCUCUUUCUUGAUUUCUUGGAUGGUGAUGCAUGGCCGUUUUUAGUUCGUGAAUAUGAUUUGUCUGGUUAAUUCCGAUAACGAACGAGAUCUUAACCUGCUAAUUAGCGGCAAAUACGACAUAUUCUUACGUGGGACUGAAUUCGGUUGAUUUGCUUACUUUGAAGAAAAUAUUGGGAUACGUAACAGUUUCCCUUUCCCUUUUCUACUUAGUUCGCUUUUCAUACUGUUUCUUUUUCGCGUAAGAAUGUAUUUGCUUGAUUGUAAAGCUUCUUAGAGGAACGAUGUGUGUCUAACACAAGGAAGUUUAAGGCAACAACAGGUCUGUGAUGUCCUUAGAUGAACUAGGCUGCACGCGUGCUACACUGAUAUGUAUAACGAGUUAUUAAAAUUACGAUUCAGCUUGCUGUUUCGUAUUUUUCCUCCACUGAAAAGUGUAGGUAAUCUUUAUCAGUACAUAUCGUGAUGGGGAUAGAUUGUUGCAAUUAUUAAUCUUGAACGAGGAAUGCCUAGUAAGCAUGAUUCAUCAGAUUGUGCUGACUACGUCCCUGCCCUUUGUACACACCGCCCGUCGCUCCUACCGAUUGAAAGAUAUGAUGAAUUGUUUGGACAAGAAGAAGGGGGAUUAUAUCUCCUUUUUUCUGGAAAAACCGUAAAUCCUAUCUUUUAAAGGAAGGAGAAGUCGUAACAAGGUUUCCGUAGUGAACCUGCGGAAGGAUCAUUA